GCCUCCCUGGUCUAACGGUAAGGCGCACAGGUGUAUAGACGAUUCUGAAUUAGAGAGAUAUCCUCUAAUUUCGGAUCGUCAAUAUGCCCAGAGAUCUGGGUUCAAAUCCUAGGGGGGGUA